rnacentral:rRNA from 1 species
CGAAUGGCGUAAUGAUGGCCAGGCUGUCUCCACCCGAGACUCAGUGAAAUUGAACUCGCUGUGAAGAUGCAGUGUACCCGCGGCAAGACGGAAAGACCCCGUGAACCUUUACUAUAGCUUGACACUGAACAUUGAGCCUUGAUGUGUAGGAUAGGUGGGAGGCUUUGAAGUGUGGACGCCAGUCUGCAUGGAGCCGACCUUGAAAUACCACCCUUUAAUGUUUGAUGUUCUAACGUGGACCCGUAAUCCGGGUUGCGGACAGUGUCUGGUGGGUAGUUUGACUGGGGCGGUCUCCUCCUAAAGAGUAACGGAGGAGCACGAAGGUUGGCUAAUCUUGGUCGGACAUCAGGAGGUUAGUGCAAUGGCAUAAGCCAGCUUGACUGCGAGCGUGACGGCGCGAGCAGGUGCGAAAGCAGGUCAUAGUGAUCCGGUGGUUCUGAAUGGAAGGGCCAUCGCUCAACGGAUAAAAGGUACUCCGGGGAUAACAGGCUGAUACCGCCCAAGAGUUCAUAUCGACGGCGGUGUUUGGCACCUCGAUGUCGGCUCAUCACAUCCUGGGGCUGAAGUAGGUCCCAAGGGUAUGGCUGUUCGCCAUUUAAAGUGGUACGCGAGCUGGGUUUAGAACGUCGUGAGACAGUUCGGUCCCUAUCUGCCGUGGGCGCUGGAGAACUGAGGGGGGCUGCUCCUAGUACGAGAGGACCGGAGUGGACGCAUCACUGGUGUUCGGGUUGUCAUGCCAAUGGCACUGCCCGGUAGCUAAAUGCGGAAGAGAUAAGUGCUGAAAGCAUCUAAGCACGAAACUUGCCCCGAGAUGAGUUCUCCCUGAGACUUUAAGUCUCCUGAAGGAACGUUGAAGACGACGACGUUGAUAGGCCGGGUGUGUAAGCGCAGCGAUGCGUUGAGCUAACCGGUACUAAUGAACCGUGAGGCUUAACCUUACAACGCCGAAG